GAUUAUUACUAUCAUUGAAACCUUUUACCUCAGAUAGGGACUUGAACCCACAUGGCUGGGACUCGAACCCAGCCAAAACCCACAGCACCUGGUUUCCGGACCUAAUGAAGCUCAGGUUCUUGAUGAUUCAUCACAGAAAGAAUUCAGUAAGAGACACAGUGAUAGGUAAGAAGUGGAUUUAUUCAGAUACAGAGAGAAGCACACUCCACAGACAGAGUGUGGGCCACCGCUGAGGGUGAAUGCAGACGGCCGUGAAAUAUGGCAUGGUUAGUUUUUAUAGGCUGGGUAAUUCCACAUGCUAAUGAGUGGGAGGACUAUUCCAACUAUUUUGGGGAAGGGGCGGAGAUUUCGUGGAUUGGGCCACCGCCCACUCCUCGGUCUUUUAGCAGUCCUUCCCAGGCCUUCGCGCUGGCUCUCCAUCCUCCUUUGCUUCCGGAGGCGGCAUCCAGAGCCGUUUUGACCAGGAGGAAACCAAGGCUCAGAGCUCGACCAUCGUCCAGGGCCCACCGCACCCAGUGGGUACGUGGGUCCCGCUGCUCCCACUCCAAUCGCGUUUCUCGACCUGGUUCUACUCACAGGACCCCAUGGCGGCUGCAGUGCUAAUGAACUGGGCUCAGGUAUCUGAAAAGAUGGUCCCGAUGCUCGGUGGGGAUGUGGACCACCAAAGUCGCCUUCCCAAAGGAGGAGAUGGCCCUUCCUGAUCCAGAGUGUGCUCCUGAGGCCUCCCCUGCCCCCCACAACACCCCACUGACUGUUGAGAAAUGGUUUCCUGCUGUAUCAGUAAAUGAGGAUGUCGCAGCCACUGGCGGUUCCAGCCCUCCAAUGUGAGCACCUGAACCCUAAGGGCGCCCAGGAAGGAGAAUAAUACCUGCCCAAUCUGAUAGCCAUCAGACUGCAGCCAACCCCCACGGUGAGCCCUGAGGAGCUCAGGCCGUGAAAAUGAAGAGGAAAAGUUAAAAUUUUACAUAACCUCCUGCU
ensembl:lncRNA